UAGGGAAUAUUGGACAAUGGGGGCAACCCUGAUCCAGCCAUGCCGCGUGAGUGAAGAAGGCCCUCGGGUUGUAAAGCUCUUUUGUCCGGAAAGAAAAGCAUUCGGUGAAUACCCGGAUGUUCUGACGGUACCGGAAGAAUAAGCACCGGCUAACUUCGUGCCAGCAGCCGCGGUAAUACGAAGGGUGCAAGCGUUAUUCGGAAUUACUGGGCGUAAAGCGUGCGUAGGUGGUUGUUUAAGUCUGAUGUGAAAGCCCUGGGCUCAACCUGGGAAUGGCAUUGGAUACUGGGCAGCUAGAGUGCGGUAGAGGGUAGUGGAAUUCCCGGUGUAGCAGUGAAAUGCGUAGAGAUCGGGAGGAACAUCUGUGGCGAAGGCGACUGCCUGGACCAGCACUGACACUGAGGCACGAAAGCGUGGGGAGCAAACA
rnacentral:rRNA from 1 species